ensembl:lncRNA
GUGGGUUGCCAUGCCCUCCUCCAGGGGAUCUUCCCAACCCAGGGAUGGAACGGUUGUCUCUUAGUCUCCUGUAUUGGCAGGUUCGUCACUUCCAAGUCCCAGGGAGGAAAUCCCCAACAAGUGGCGCCUGAACAGGGACUUGAAAGGAAGGCUGAACAAAGCGAUGAGCCCCUACAGAAAGAGAUGGAGAGGAAAUCUGGAUUCCCCUUUGCCAUGUCCAUUACUGAGAGGGACCCCAAGACUGGACUCCCUCGGGAAGUGACGAAGUUGACGCGAAGGGUCUCGUCAAUGACCCUGGAGGAGCCAAUGAGGAAAUGCCAUCGUCUGAAUCCUUACCCAAUAUGGGCUCAAGUGAAAAACAUGACUCAUCAGGCUGAGCAGACACUGAAGAGUACUGGAACUCCUAUGACUCCAGAUAAGCUGUUUCUGGCAAUGUUAGCU